AGUUAGUUUUAUUCUGACUAAUAAAUUAAAUAUAAAAUUAUAUUACAUGCAUUAUCUUACUUGAUUGAGUUUUAUCUUAAUGAUAUAUUUUAAAAACGCAGUAUUUAAUAUUAUAAAUUAAUAAAUUUAGAAAUAGUGAAUUUUAUUAUAAAGGACAAAAUUCGUGCCAGCAGUUGCGGUUAUACGAUUUUUUUAGAUUUAAUUAUAUUGGUUUCAGUUAAAAUAUAUUAAUAUUAAAAUUUUUAAAUUUUGGUGGAAUAAUAUGUAAAUUGAAUGUUUAUUUUUAUGUCUGAGAAAUUUUUAUAAAAAACUAGGAUUAGAUACCCUAUUAUUAAAAAUGUAAAUUUAAGUUAACUUGAUUAUUAAUAGUUAUGAUCUUUAAAUUCAAAGAAUUUGGCGGUAAUUUAUCUAAUCAGAGGAAUCUGUUUUAUAAUCGAUAAUCCACGAUAGAUAAUACUUUAAAUAUACUUGUAUACCUCUGUCAAGAAUGUUUUAUAAGAAAAAUUUUCGUAUAUUAUAAAUAAUAAAAUGUCAAGUCAAGGUGCAGUUAAUUUUAAAGAAAAUAUGGAUUACAUUUAUUUAACAAAAUGAAUUGUUUUCUAUUAUGAAAUCAUGAAAUUGGAUUUGAAAGUAAAUUACAAUUAAAUAUAAUUGAUUGAAUUUCAGUUCUAAAUUAUGUACACAUCGCCCGUCACUCCCAUAAUAAGUGGGAUAAGUCGUAACAAAGUAGCUGUACUGGAAAGUGUAGCUAGAAUGAAAA
rnacentral:ncRNA from 1 species